rnacentral:rRNA from 1 species
GGCAACGAGCGAGACCCACGCCACAGUUGCCAGCUCGUCCUCCGGGAGUGGUGGGGACACUGUUGGGACCGCCUCUGCUAAAGAGGAGGAAGGAAUGGGCGAACGGUAGGUCAGCAUGCCCGAAUUAUCUGGGCUACACGCGGGCUACAAUGGGUGGGACAAUGGGUAUCGACACCGAAAGGUGAAGGUAAUCUCCUAAACCAAUCUUAGUUCGGAUUGAGGGCUGCAACUCGCCCUCAUGAAGCUGGAAUCCGUAGUAAUCGCGUUUCAACAGAACGCGGUGAAUACGUCCCUGCUCCUU